AUGUGGCGUCGUCGAUCAGCGGUGCGCGCCUACGGCGGCGAUGAUCUGGAGGCGGCGCUGCGCGGCGCGGCGGACGCGAACAGGACGCUGAUCCUGAGCGUGCUGAACAAGGCGUACGCCGAGGAGGAUGGCCUGCUCGACCUUUUCGUGCGGAGCCUGAGGGAAGGGGAGGGAACCGCGCAGCUCGUCAGCCACGUCCUCCUCGUGGCAAUGGACCGGCCAGCAUACCGCCGGUGCGUGAGCCUCGGCGGCGUCCGGUGUUAUCGGCUCCCGGCGGCGUCGAGGAACGGCACCCAAGACUUGUCGUCGGAGCAACUCUACAUGUCCGACGGGUUCAUACGCAUGAUGUGGCGGCGCAUUCGCCUCCUCGGCGACGUUCUCAAGCACGGCUACAGCUUCAUAUUCACGGAUUUGGAUGUGAUGUGGCUGAGGAACCCCUUCCCGAGUCUCAAGUACCGCACCGGGGAGGAAGACCUCCUGAUCAGCUGCGACAAGUUCAACGGACGGCCGCAGGACUACCUCAGCAACGAGCUCAACACCGGCUUCUUCUUCGUGGCCGCCUACAACCGGACGGCGGCGCUGUUCGACGAGUGGCACGCGGCCCGCGGCGAGUCGGCGGGCAUGAAGGAGCAGGACGUGCUGAACCGGAUGAAGCGGCGUCACACGUUCCGGCGGCUCGGCGUGACGGUGCGCGUGCUGGACACGGCGCGCUUCAGCGGGUUUUGCCAGGACAGCCGGGACGCCCGGCAGGUGGCCACCGUGCACGCCAACUGCUGCCGGACGAUGCGGGCCAAGAUCGCUGACCUGAGGGCCGUCCUCAGGGCCGCUAGGCGACUCAACGGGACGGCACGGCUGAGGUGGCCGCCGCACUCGGAGUGCGCUAAAUCGUGGAGAUGA
rnacentral:rRNA from 1 species